CGCCCGUCUGGUUUGGGCCACAGUUCUGGCCAUUGUCUCCGAUUGAUCUGCAGCACGUUUAAAAAUGCAGGGCCUCCGUGGUGGCCGCUGGCCCGGCCUUAUAUUCCCAACCCCCCCGUCACUGUCCGAGCCCGCGUAAUAACCGCCAGAUGUUCCCCAUCCACCGGCGUGCUGUUGGGCUGCUGCCAAUGCCCGCGGCUCCCCGCAUCGGGGGCGGAUUAGGAGUAAUCCCCCGCAAUUCCAGCAUCGGCCUUUGUCCCCGUGCACCGCGGUGGGACCUGCGCCUGGCCGGGCCGCUCGUUCACCAGAGAUCAAAGACACGAGGCUGAAGGUUCUGUGGUCGCCGUGGUGAUGGAAAGAAAUAACAAGAUGGCCCCAAGUCUGCGAUCCCCAGUCCCAGAUGGUUGCUGGCGUAUUCUCAACUCCAUCAUGGAGUCAUGGCCGGGGACGGCAUGCCCCAGACCCCAGAGCAUGCACCUUACACCCGGUGCCCCCCCCGUACACCCGGUGCCCCCCCGUACUACCAGCACUAAGUUACACAUCUCUCAGUUACAUCUCACAUCUACUAUAGGACUCCUAUAGUAGGCUCUUCUGGGUGCAGGUUUAGAGAGCUUACACUUGGUAAGUAACACUCAAAAAAUUACACUCAGUAAAUAACACUCGUUUAGUUAGAGUCCAGUCUGCCAGGUUUGUGACACUGAUCCUGGUAGUUUGUUUAAGCUUUAAAGUAGCUGCUUUUUGAUGUUUCACUAGAAUGAAUCAGACAUAUGAGUUUCUGUUUUAACUUGCAGGAAAUUAAAUUGAUGUGAGCCCUCUGUAUCUGUGCCUGCUGGCAGGCCUCUCUUCUUGGUCCAUCACACUCGCAUAUGCACACCUCUCACGUGGUGCUUGCUCCACGGAGCAUCAGUUUUCCCGGCAGUGGUAUCGGGCGACUCAUGCAGGAGGGGCGGCUACAGGAACGCAGCCCCCGAGCUCUCCGCUUUAAACAACCAUUCCCAUAAACCUUUGUGCCUCGUGCCUACAGGUAAAUCAAUAAAGGCCCAUCUCCCAUGUGCUAAUGAAUUGGGAUUUUUAAUGAAUCCCCCAUUUGCAUUUAAAAGUAACCAGGGAAAUUAGGAGGUUAUGUCUCUAUUUUUUAUUUAUUAUGUACAUAUGUGAGGUGGGAGGUGGGGGGGAUAAUUUGUGGGAAAUGUAAAUGUAAAACUUUAGGUAAAUAAAAAGAAAAAGGAGGGUAGCUUUGAUGUAUUCAUAGGGGUCAGGACAACAGUACCACUGCUCAGGUUUUAAUGAUAAGUGAAUCUGUCUGCUUGGUGAUGCCGGUGUGAUUCCGAUGUCUUUGUUUGAAGAUUCACGCUGGGAUCGUUGUCUGAUUCCACCGGCCGGCGGUCCAUAGACGUCACGUGGCAUGAUGGAGCGGAGCGCGCUUGUGGGGUCGACGCCAAGAGCCGAGCGGGGGGAUCCCGCAGGAUUCCCUUUCCCAGCCGGGCAAGACCCGUGAGUGCAGCACUCCGCCAUGUCACGUUAAUUAAGCAAUUACUUUAAUUAACACAUGAAUUAAUUCCGUCGCAUAGCCAGAUACCCAAAGCACCUUAAAUAACUCCCAGUCUCAUGAUUUAUGGCUCCAGUUCCGAUAUGGUUCAGUGACCUUCUCAAGGGGACAGUGCCCGGGACACUUUGGGGACACAGAUGGCUGCUAAUUUGGCACCGGUACCCCGCCCCGGUGUCCACACCAGCAGUGCUGUGCCUCUCAGCCUGUCACUGAACCAGUCACAGUGUCGGAUGCACAAUAAGAAGCCUUUAACCAUGUCCGCUAUUGGAACUUCAAGAGUCCUACCUUAUUGCGGUUAGUGUUUUUUCUCCAGGAAAUUAAAGGCCCACAAAAUGGGAAAGUUCAACCUGAUUUCCAGUAUUAGAUGUGGAGAGAACAGUUAGUAUGUCUCCUGGGAACGUAUUUGUGUCUUAUUCUGUGUUUUCUGUUUAUUUCACAUAAUGUGAUAUUUAGGUAUCCUAGCCUUUUGCUGCCUCUGCGACACGUUUCCUGAGUAAGUCACUCUGCUCCGGGCUUUCCGUCACGCUUCCGAGUGGGGAGUCAAAGGCUUCAGUUCAAACGCACCACUCACACCUUCCAGGAGUGUCUACAAAUCCCCUCCCCUCCCCCCUCAGUCAGCCGGUGCUCCAGGGAGACGGUUUCCAAAAUUAUUUCACCAAAAUGUUAUUACGUCAUUCUCUCGAAUGGCAGGUGUUCAAUUCCAAACAGUCGCUUCAGAAACAAAUAUGGUUAAACGUUAAUGGAGCAAUUUUAAAAGGCUUAAUGUACGCCGGACGAUGAUUUAUUUAUUUACAGAAUUUAUACAGUGACCGUCAUUGACCGGCUUGACGGGUUUAAUUAAAAUCCCACGUCUUGUUUUCUCACGUGAGUCGUGGCUGCAGCAGAGAGGCGGAGUAGCCUGCAGCUACGCUAAACCACACAUCAGGGAAAAUCACUUGUUUACUCUGUCCGAACUAUGCAGCGUCGCCUCGGGGACACAGCUGGCUUGACGUUCGUCCUCCACCUUUGGCUAAGCGAUGAAUGGAUAACAUCGCCUCUCUCUGCUGUCACCUCUCAAAUUAUUUAUCUGCCCCCCCCCUUGAAAGCUGUGCGGGACACGCAAACUGCAUUAUCUGUUUUUAUUACCAAGGAGCUUAUCUGUCUGUACUUACUUGGGGAGUGGGAGCUAGCUUUAAAGCCAGGAAUGAAUUCCUUGUAUGGUCAAGGUAAAGUAAGGAACGAGGAGAACAAGACGGGAAAUGGCUCUUUCUGUACUCCAGCCUCUGAUACAGGACAGGAUAUGUCUCUCUCUCUCUACCUUGGCCUUUACUACAGGACAGGAUAUGUCUCUCUCUCUCUACCUUGGCCUUUACUACAGGACAGGAAAUGUCUCUCUGUCUACUUUUGCCUCUAAUACAGGACAGGAAUUUUUUCUCUCUCUAUUUUAGCCUCUAAUACAGGACAGGAAAUGUCUGUCUACUUUAGCCUCUAAUACAGGACAGGAAAUUUUUCUCUCUCUACUUUAGCCACUAAUACAGGACAGGACAUGUCUCUCUCUCUGCUGUGGCCUGUAAUACAGGACAGGAAAUGGCUCUCUCUUCACAGCAGCCUUUAGCACAGCAGAGGAAAUAGCCUUCUCUGUACUCCGGCCUCUAAUACAGGACAGGAAAUAGCUCUCUCACCAUCCUGGCCUCUGGUACAGAACAGGAAACUCCAGCAAUCUUACACUGCAACGAUGGCCGGACAGGAACAUAGUCUGUGUGCAUUUGUGCUUACGGAACAUGCUGUACCGAGGGCAUGCUGUAUUCCGUGUGGUAUGUAAAGCCCGAUUUAGAAUUCAGGAGGGAGUCAGGCGCAGGACACGAUGUCAGCAUCAUGCAGCCGUUAACUCAAAGCCACACAACAUGCUCUCUUACACAGUUCUGGGGUGUUGAGCCAUGCACGGGAGUUUGGGGACGUCGGUGAGAGUGUAAUGGAGUGCAGGCUCUCCACGUUCACUCACCUUAAUCACCCAUGAUGUCAUAACACAUCAGUUUUUUUCAGUAAUGAUCGAGGUGGGCAAUUAAUUAUCCAGUUGCUGUCCUGGGGAGUGACUGGAUGACCUUGUUUAUUUUCAUAUUUCCUGAAUUAUAAGUUAUGUAUUAAUAUCUUGCUGUAGAACCACCUUCAUUUCUACUUGUCAGGGUUUGCAAUGUCCUUUUUUACAUUUUAUUUAUUGAUUUAUUUUUUAAAUACUCUUACUAUAUUUGUAUGUGUGAAGUUCUGGGUGUCUAAUGUAGUAUUUUAAAUACUUUGACUUUUUGUCUCUAACCACCAUGCCACCUGCUGGCCUAAUUUGUUACUACUGAGAAUUGAAUUAACUGCAAUGUAUAUCAUCUGUCUAUCUCUUUGUGAGAGAACAUGAGAAACAGGUAUAGCAAUGUGUGGAAGCAGCAGCUGAAGGAGCGGGGAGUCAGGACACAGACUGUCCCCCAGACUGGCAGGCACGCCGUGGUGACACCUCCAGGUGGGACAUGUCAUCGCAUCACCCGCAUCAGCCUGUCAAAGCCAGGCGGCAUGAAGUCACAGGUGAUGCAAGCAGAGCCCCCCCCCCUUCGCCAGAGUCAGAGGGAGAGCAGCUGGUCCAGGUGCCGCCGAGACUGAUGGUUCCAGGACCGGGAUUAGUGUGACGGACACUGUUUAAAAGUGAAAAAUACAUGAAUAUGUGAAAGGCCAGCCUGGCGAGAGCUCUAUGCCGGCCCGGCGUCCAGGGCGUACCCCUCCCGGCGGCCCAGGCGUUUGGGGACGGGGGCUGAACGGGACGAGAGUGCAGCAGAGAACGGACGGCUGGAUCGACUUGGGAGCGAGGGGCCGUGAAGCCUGGAGCUUAUCCCAGGCAGAGUUGGAGGCGCCGCUGUGGAGCACCCUGCAUGGGACGGCACGCAUCGACAGGCUCAGGCAACGGACACGUCUGAUGCCCGUUCGCCCAACUGCGUGACUCCUGAGCUUGGAGAGAAGCUGGCGUUCUGGGAAGGAGCGUGCAUGAUAUUCAGGCAGGAUCUGAGCGGCCUGUUUAUCGCCUGACCUUUCUCAGUGCCUGUAAACACCAGAACUGCCAGCUUAUUACCAAUGGGGUGGAUGAAGAGGCCAUUGAAGGCAGAGCUGUGGAUCGUGACAGUCCUACAAAAGCAAAGCAAGGCGCCGGCAUGAGCUGCACCCAGGGCUGCUCAAAGUUCAUG